rnacentral:rRNA from 1 species
AUUGAACGCUGGCGGCAUGCCUUACACAUGCAAGUCGAACGGCAGCACGGGAGCAAUCCUGGUGGCGAGUGGCGAACGGGUGAGUAAUACAUCGGAACGUGCCCAGUAGUGGGGGAUAGCCCGGCGAAAGCCGGAUUAAUACCGCAUACGACCUGAGGGUGAAAGCGGGGGAUCGCAAGACCUCGCGCUAUUGGAGCGGCCGAUGUCGGAUUAGCUAGUUGGUGGGGUAAAGGCUCACCAAGGCAACGAUCCGUAGCUGGUCUGAGAGGACGACCAGCCACACUGGGACUGAGACACGGCCCAGACUCCUACGGGAGGCAGCAGUGGGGAAUUUUGGACAAUGGGCGCAAGCCUGAUCCAGCCAUGCCGCGUGCGGGAAGAAGGCCUUCGGGUUGUAAACCGCUUUUGUCAGGGAAGAAACGCUCUGGGCUAAUACCCCGGGGUAAUGACGGUACCUGAAGAAUAAGCACCGGCUAACUACGUGCCAGCCGCCGCCGUAAUAC